rnacentral:rRNA from 1 species
UACGUAGGGUGCGAGCGUUGUCCGGAAUUAUUGGGCGUAAAGAGCUCGUAGGCGGUGUGUCACGUCGGCCGUGAAAACCUGCAGCUUAACUGUGGGCGUGCGGCCGAUACGGGCAUCACUGGAGUUCGGCAGGGGAGACUGGAAUUCCUGGUGAUGAGCGGUGAAAUGCGCAGAUAUCAGGAGGAACACCGGUGGCGAAGGCGGGUCUCUGGGCCGAUGACUGACGCUGGAGGAGCGAAAGCCGUGGGGAGCGAACAGGA